rnacentral:rRNA from 1 species
CGUGGAAACACGGNUGNUCCGUAAGGGCCCAUGACAGGGUGGUGCAUGGCUGUCGUCAGCUCGUGUCGUGAGAUGUUGGGUUAAGUCCCGCAACGAGCGCAACCCUUGUCCUAUGUUGCCAGCGGUUCGGCCGGGGACUCAUAGGAGACUGCCGGGGAUAACUCGGAGGAAGGUGAGGACGACGUCAAGUCAUCAUGCCCCUUAUAUCCAGGGCUGCACGCAUGCUACAAUGGCCGGUACAACGGGCUGCGAUCCUGCGAAGGUGAGCGAAUCCCACAAAGCCGGCCUCAGUUCGGAUUGGAGUCUGCAACUCGACUCCAUGAAGUUGGAAUCGCUAGUAAUCGCGGAUCAGCACGCCGCGGUGAAUACGUUCCCGGGCCUUGUACACACCGCCCGUCACAUCACGAAAGCCGGUUGUACUAGAAGUCGCCACACUAACCCGCAAGGGAGGGAGGCGCCUAAGGUAUGAUCGGUGAUUGGGGUGAAGUCGUAACAAGGUAACCGU